GACGUAGGGUCCAAGCGUUGUCCGGAUUUACUGGGCGUAAAGAGCGCGUAGGCGGCUCGUUAAGUGUAGAGUGAAAUCUCUGGGCUCACCCCAGAAACUGCUCUGCAUACUGGAUGGCUGGAGUUUUGGGAGAGGGAUGCGGAAUUCCAGGUGUAGCGGUGAAAUGCGUAGAUAUCUGGAGGAACACCGGUGGCGAAGGGCGGCAAUCCGUGGACCAACACUCGACGCUGAGGAGCGAAAGCCAGGGGAGCAAACGGG
rnacentral:rRNA from 1 species